GAUGAACGCUGGCGGCGUGCCUAAUACAUGCAAGUCGAGCGAACGGACGAGAAGCUUGCUUCUCUGAUGUUAGCGGCGGACGGGUGAGUAACACGUGGAUAACCUACCUAUAAGACUGGGAUAACUUCGGGAAACCGGAGCUAAUACCGGAUAAUAUUUUGAACCGCAUGGUUCAAAAGUGAAAGACGGUCUUGCUGUCACUUAUAGAUGGAUCCGCGCUGCAUUAGCUAGUUGGUAAGGUAACGGCUUACCAAGGCAACGAUGCAUAGCCGACCUGAGGGGGUGAUCAGCCACACUGGAACUGAGACACGGUCCAGACUCCUACGGGAGGCAGCAGUAGGGAAUCUUCCGCAAUGGGCGAAAGCCUGACGGAGCAACGCCGCGUGAGUGAUGAAGGUCUUCGGAUCGUAAAACUCUGUUAUUAGGGAAGAACAUAUGUGUAAGUAACUGUGCACAUCUUGACGGUACCUAAUCAGAAAGCCACGGCUAACUACGUG
rnacentral:rRNA from 1 species